AUUGCUUCUCAGACGUUUGGCUAAGUCAAGUGUAGUUGUCUGUUCUUAACAGUUUAAUAUUUAAUAUGUUCUCAGGACAAUAUAUUAAAUGGCUUUUUGGAACAGGAGGUUGGAAUAGGAGGUUGCUCUAUCCACUCUGUGCAUCGACCUGGUAUUGCAAUACAUCCAAGAAAGGUGCACCAGAA